rnacentral:rRNA from 1 species
GAAGCUUGCUUCUCUUGAGAGCGGCGGACGGGUGAGUAAUGCCUAGGAAUCUGCCUGGUAGUGGGGGAUAACGUUCGGAAACGGACGCUAAUACCGCAUACGUCCUACGGGAGAAAGCAGGGGACCUUCGGGCCUUGCGCUAUCAGAUGAGCCUAGGUCGGAUUAGCUAGUUGGUGAGGUAAUGGCUCACCAAGGCGACGAUCCGUAACUGGUCUGAGAGGAUGAUCAGUCACACUGGAACUGAGACACGGUCCAGACUCCUACGGGAGGCAGCAGUGGGGAAUAUUGGACAAUGGGCGAAAGCCUGAUCCAGCCAUGCCGCGUGUGUGAAGAAGGUCUUCGGAUUGUAAAGCACUUUAAGUUGGGAGGAAGGGCAGUUACCUAAUACGUGAUUGUUUUGACGUUACCGACAGAAUAAGCACCGGCUAACUCUGUGCCAGCAGCCGCGGUAAUACAGAGGGUGCAAGCGUUAAUCGGAAUUACUGGGCGUAAAGCGCGC